CGGGGAGUAGCGCAGCCUGGUAGCGCAUCUGCUUUGGGAGCAGAGGGUCGGAGGUUCGAAUCCUCUCUCCCCGA
rnacentral:tRNA from 1 species